AUGACGUUGAACCGGCAGUACCGCAACCUCAAGCAGGGGGAUCUCUCCGUUGCUGAGUAUGCUCGCCGCAUGAAGCUUCUCACCGCCGGCCUAGCCGACAUCGAGCAUGCCGUCACUGAGGUGGAUCUCACCACUCAGUUUCUUCACGGCAUCGACAAACACCUCGACACCAUCCGUGUCGUGCUUGGGGACACGGUGCCUCUGCCACCGUUCGAGACGGUUUUCUCCCGCCUGAAGCUCGCCGAGGAGAAUCUUGCCCAGCGCGUGGCCGAUGAGCCGGCCACGAUCCUCGCCGUCACCGGGAGCGGCGGCCCCUCCAGCAGCUCUUCCGGAUCUGGCGGCCACGGCUCUCACCCCGUCGACCGCAUCGAUCGCUCCAAUGAUCGGGGCCCCGCU
rnacentral:rRNA from 1 species